GGGUUGUGAGGUUAAGCGACUAAGCGUACACGGUGGAUGCCCUGGCAGUCAGAGGCGAUGAAGGACGUGCUAAUCUGCGAUAAGCGUCGGUAAGGUGAUAUGAACCGUUAUAACCGGCGAUUUCCGAAUGGGGAAACCCAGUGUGAUUCGUCACACUAUCAUUAACUGAAUCCAUAGGUUAAUGAGGCGAACCGGGGGAACUGAAACAUCUAAGUACCCCGAGGAAAAGAAAUCAACCGAGAUUCCCCCAGUAGCGGCGAGCGAACGGGGAGCAGCCCAGAGCCUGAAUCAGUGUGUGUGUUAGUGGAAGCGUCUGGAAAGGCGUGCGAUACAGGGUGACAGCCCCGUACACAAAAAUGCACAUACUGUGAGCUCGAUGAGUAGGGCGGGACACGUGGUAUCCUGUCUGAAUAUGGGGGGACCAUCCUCCAAGGCUAAAUACUCCUGACUGACCGAUAGUGAACCAGUACCGUGAGGGAAAGGCGAAAAGAACCCCGGCGAGGGGAGUGAAAAAGAACCUGAAACCGUGUACGUACAAGCAGUGGGAGCACGCUUAGGCGUGUGACUGCGUACCUUUUGUAUAAUGGGUCAGCGACUUAUAUUCUGUAGCAAGGUUAACCGAAUAGGGGAGCCGAAGGGAAACCGAGUCUUAACUGGGCGUUAAGUUGCAGGGUAUAGACCCGAAACCCGGUGAUCUAGCCAUGGGCAGGUUGAAGGUUGGGUAACACUAACUGGAGGACCGAACCGACUAAUGUUGAAAAAUUAGCGGAUGACUUGUGGCUGGGGGUGAAAGGCCAAUCAAACCGGGAGAUAGCUGGUUCUCCCCGAAAGCUAUUUAGGUAGCGCCUCGUGAAUUCAUCUCCGGGGGUAGAGCACUGUUUCGGCAAGGGGGUCAUCCCGACUUACCAACCCGAUGCAAACUGCGAAUACCGGAGAAUGUUAUCACGGGAGACACACGGCGGGUGCUAACGUCCGUCGUGAAGAGGGAAACAACCCAGACCGCCAGCUAAGGUCCCAAAGUCAUGGUUAAGUGGGAAACGAUGUGGGAAGGCCCAGACAGCCAGGAUGUUGGCUUAGAAGCAGCCAUCAUUUAAAGAAAGCGUAAUAGCUCACUGGUCGAGUCGGCCUGCGCGGAAGAUGUAACGGGGCUAAACCAUGCACCGAAGCUGCGGCAGCGACGCUUAUGCGUUGUUGGGUAGGGGAGCGUUCUGUAAGCCUGCGAAGGUGUGCUGUGAGGCAUGCUGGAGGUAUCAGAAGUGCGAAUGCUGACAUAAGUAACGAUAAAGCGGGUGAAAAGCCCGCUCGCCGGAAGACCAAGGGUUCCUGUCCAACGUUAAUCGGGGCAGGGUGAGUCGACCCCUAAGGCGAGGCCGAAAGGCGUAGUCGAUGGGAAACAGGUUAAUAUUCCUGUACUUGGUGUUACUGCGAAGGGGGGACGGAGAAGGCUAUGUUGGCCGGGCGACGGUUGUCCCGGUUUAAGCGUGUAGGCUGGU
rnacentral:rRNA from 1 species